AGAGCUCAAAAUCUUCAGCGAGCUCUUAACCAACUGAGCCACUCAGCCAGCCCCUGAACUUUUUAACAAAUCUUUUUUAUCACCCCUACCCAGGACUCCUGAUUCUUUGAGUUGCUUGUUACCUCUCAUUCCUGAAACAAGGUUCUCAGAUUUAUGCCUUUUUUUUCUUUCUUUCUUGACUGUCACUGUGGUACAGUUUCAGGAGGAGACUGAAAUAAACAGGACCCCUUCAUGACAACCUGGAUGGACAGUUACAAAUGUAGCAUUCUCAGGCUUCCUGAAGUUCCAGACAGAAAGAACGUGGAGACAGGAGGAGAGCUGGUCCCAGGCCCUGGCACCUAGCCUGUGCCCUAUCCCCCUUCUCUUCCCAUGCCGGCUUACACUGUCACUGUGAGCGACCUCAGGGACACA